rnacentral:rRNA from 1 species
AGUGAACGCUGGCGGUAGGCCUAACACAUGCAAGUCGAACGGCAGCACAGUAAGAGCUUGCUCUUACGGGUGGCGAGUGGCGGACGGGUGAGGAAUACAUCGGAAUCUACUUUUUCGUGGGGGAUAACGUAGGGAAACUUACGCUAAUACCGCAUACGACCUACGGGGGAAAGCAGGGGAUCUUCGGACCUUGCGCGAUUGAAUGAGCCGAUGUCGGAUUAGCUAGUUGGCGGGGUAAAGGCCCACCAAGGCGACGAUCCGUAGCUGGUCUGAGAGGAUGAUCAGCCACACUGGAACUGAGACACGGUCCAGACUCCUACGGGAGGCAGCAGUGGGGAAUAUUGGACAAUGGGCGCAAGCCUGAUCCAGCCAUACCGCGUGGGUGAAGAAGGCCUUCGGGUUGUAAAGCCCUUUUGUUGGGAAAAAAAAGCAGCAGGUUAAUACCCCGCUGUUCUGACGGUACCCAAAGAAUAAGCACCGGCUAACUUCGUG